AGUGAACGCUGGCGGUAGGCCUAACACAUGCAAGUCGAACGGCAGCACAGUAAGAGCUUGCUCUUACGGGUGGCGAGUGGCGGACGGGCGAGGAAUACAUCGGAAUCUACUUUUUCGUGGGGGAUAACGUAGGGAAACUUACGCUAAUACCGCAUACGACCUACGGGUGAAAGCAGGGGAUCUUCGGACCUUGCGCGAUUGAAUGAGCCGAUGUCGGAUUAGCUAGUUGGCGGGGUAAAGGCCCACCAAGGCGACGAUCCGUAGCUGGUCUGAGAGGAUGAUCAGCCACACUGGAACUGAGACACGGUCCAGACUCCUACGGGAGGCAGCAGUGGGGAAUAUUGGACAAUGGGCGCAAGCCUGAUCCAGCCAUACCGCGUGGGUGAAGAAGGCCUUCGGGUUGUAAAGCCCUUUUGUUGGGAAAGAAAAGCAGCAGGUUAAUACCCCGCUGUGCCGACGGUACCCAAAGAAUAAGCACCGGCUAACUUCGUG
rnacentral:rRNA from 1 species